CACGUAGGGGGCAAGCGUUGUCCGGAUUCAUUGGGCGUAAAGAGCUCGUAGGCGGUUCGAUAAGUCGGGUGUGAAACCUCCAGGCCCAACCUGGAGACGCCACCCGAUACUGUCGUGACUAGAGUCCAGUAGGGGAGCGUGGAAUUCCUGGUGUAGCGGUGAAAUGCGCAGAUAUCAGGAGGAACACCAGCGGCGAAGGCGGCGCUCUGGGCUGGAACUGACGCUGAGGAGCGAAAGCGUGGGGAGCGAACAGG
rnacentral:rRNA from 1 species